rnacentral:rRNA from 1 species
CAAUCGAACGUGGAGAUAGCUGGUUCUCCCCGAAAUAGCUUUAGGGCUAGCCUCAAGUGGUGAUUACAGGCGGUAGAGCACUGAUCAGGAGCGGGACCUACCCGGUUACCAAACCCAGUCAAACUCCGAAUGGCUGUAAUCAAACUUGGGAGUCAGACUACGACUUAUAAGGGCCGUGGUCAAGAGGGAAACAGCCCAGAUCAUCAGCUAAGGUCCCAAAUGCCGUGCUAAGUGGCGAAGGAUGUGGCGUUUCAUAAACAACCAGGAUGUUGGCUUAGAAGCAGCCAUCAUUUAAAGAGUGCGUAAUAGCCCACUGGUCGAGAGACGCUGCGCCGAAGAUGUCCGGGGCUCAAGCACGGAACCGAAGCUAUGGCAGACGCAAGCCGUCUGGGUAGGGGAGCGUUCUUAUUGGGGAGAAGCGAUACCGGAAGGAGUCGUGGACUGAUAAGAAGUGAGAAUGCUGGUAUGAGUAUCGAAAAGAAAGGUGAGAAUCCUUUCCACCGAAAGCCCGAGGGUUCCUGAGCAACGAUCGUCGUCUCAGGGUAAGUCGGGACCUAAGCCGAGGCGGAAAAGCGUAGGCGAUGGACAACAGGUUGAAAUUCCUGUACCGGUGUGAAUCGUUUGAUCGAUGGAGUGACACAGUAAGGUAGGUCAGCACGCGAUUGGAAGUGCGUGUUUAAGCAUGUAGGUUGAGCUAUAGGCAAAUCCGUAGCUCUAAAAGCUGAGAUGUGAUGACGAGUUACUAGCGAUAGUAACGAAGUGAUUGAUCCUACACUGUCGAGAAAAGCUUCUAGGUAGAGACACAUCGCCCGUACCAAAACCGACACAGGUAGGCGGGGAGAGAAUCCUAAGGUGCGCGGGAAAACCCUCGUUAAGGAACUCGGCAAAAUGCCUCCGUAACUUCGGGAAAAGGAGGACUCAUGUAGUGUGAAGUGCAGCAACGCAUGGAGCAUGAAUGAGUGGCACAAGAGAGGCGCAAGCGACUGUUUACCACAAACACAGGUGCCUGCUAAAGCGAAAGCUGAUGUAUAGGUGCUGACACCUGCCCGGUGCUGGAAGGUUAAGAGGAGGGGUUAGACUUCGGUCGAAGCUCUGAAUUGAAGCCCCAGUAAACGGCGGCCGUAACUAUAACGGUCCUAAGGUAGCGAAAUUCCUUGUCGGGUAAGUUCCGACCCGCACGAAAGGUGUAACGACUUGCGCACUGUCUCAACGAGGGACCCGGUGAAAUUGAAGUACCUGUGAAGAUGCAGGUUACCCGCGACUGGACAGAAAGACCCCAUGGAGCUUUACUGCAACCUAAGAUUGAACUUAGUUAAUGAAUGUACAGGAUAGGUGGGAGACGUAGAACCUAGGACGCCAGUUUUAGGGGAGUCAUUGUUGGGAUACCACCCUUUCAUUAAUUGAUUUCUAACGGGCCGAGUAACGACCGGCCGGACAGUCUUAGGCGGGCAGUUUGACUGGGGCGGUCGCCUCCUAAAGAGUAACGGAGGCGCCCAAAGGUUCCCUCAGAGCGGACGGAAAUCGCUCGAAGAGUGUAAAGGCAGAAGGGAGCUUGACUGCGAGACGGACAGGUCGAGCAGGGACGAAAGUCGGGCUUAGUGAUCCGGUGGUGCCGAGUGGAAGGGCCAUCGCUCAACGGAUAAAAGCUACCCUGGGGAUAACAGGCUAAUCUCUCCCAAGAGUCCAUAUCGACGGGGAGGUUUGGCACCUCGAUGUCGGCUCAUCACAUCCUGGGGCUGUAGUAGGUCCCAAGGGUUGGGCUGUUCGCCCAUUAAAGUGGUACGCGAGCUGGGUUCAAAACGUCGUGAGACAGUUUGGUUCAUAUCCAUCGCGGGCGUAAGAAGUUUGAGGGGGGCUGCUCCUAGUACGAGAGGACCGGAGUGGACGAAUCAAUGGUGUACCAGUUGUCACGCCAGUGGCAUGGCUGGAAAGCCACAUUCGGAAGGGAUAAACGCUGAAAGCAUCUAAGCGUGAAGCCCACCCCAAGAUGAGACUUCUCAUCAGAAAUGAGUAAGAUCCCUUAUAGACUAUGAGGUAGAUAGGCCGCAAGUGGAAGAGCAGUGAUGUUUGGAGCGAUGCGGUACUAAUAGAUCGAGGUCUUAACUUA